CCUUUAUGUAAAACUGACUUUUAUUACAAUUAAAAAAGAACAAAGACAAUUUGAUAAGUGCCUUUAAUUACAACAUACCUGCUAUUUACAUGUAAUCAUACUUUUAUAUAUAGCUUGAAUAAGUUUUAUUACAUGUAAACUAUAAGAUAUUACAAGUUAAACUCCAGUCUUUUCUGGAUAUUCAAUUGAAAUACUACUGGCAGAAACAUACGAAAACAAAUACCCAUUUCAGUUCCUCAGGUACCAUUACUGGUUGAAUGAUCAAGAUCUGGCCACAGAAGAGAAGUGGAAAUAUGCAUCAAAACAAAACUUAUUCUUAACAUGACUAACAGUAUUGUUAUUUAAACCCUAAACAUAAUUAAUAAUUGGAUCAUUAAAAACACAACUUCAAUUUAUAUAGCACCUUUCUUCCGAAGAGUUGAAAGCAUUCGUGCUUAUCUCUAUUAUUUCGUUUGUCCCCAUAACAUCUCUAUGAGGUAGGCAAUGGUUAGUAUCAUUAUCCCCAUUUUGUAUAUGGAGAAACUGAGGCACAGAGAAGUUAAAUCAUUUGCUCGAGGUCACAUAGUAAAGUCAAUGCUGGAACAGGGACCACAGCCCUGUGCUCUUGUCUCCAAAACCCAUGUUUCCCUUUACACUAAAUUGUCCCACUUGAGAAUUUAAUUCAAUAACUCUACACUUUUCCAAUAAAUAAAAAAGUGCAUUUUUUUCACCCAUAAAAAUUUUUGAAAUACUAUGAGCAAGAUACAAACAUUCUGGGAUGGAUGGUAGAUGGAUGCUACACUCUUCUAGAAAGUGCUUAUGGAAAUGUUUAUUUUAAUAUGAGGAGUUUCUUUUCCUAGUUAAAACAAAGUAGAUGUCUUUACAAGAAAUAUAUUUGAAAAAAUGCUUCUAGUCACCUACUCAAUUAUAGCUCUAGUAGCCAUAUUAUAUUAUCUACAAACCAGGUUUAUUCCUGAGUUUAAAAAGAAGAAAAUAUCUAAAUAAUAAGUUAAAUCUUUGAGAUAAUUUUUCUCAUUUACACACAUUUACUCAAGAGACUCAGAGUGGCAGAUAGGGAAUUGGGCCAACACAUUUCUCAGAGAGACAUGAGAACUGAGACACACAGGGGCAGCAAGUCUGAAUUUUGCUCUCAUCUCUGCUCCCUUCGCCCCACUAGAGUCAACUAUACGGUUGAUACUCGAAGCAAAUAAAAAGAUAAUUUUUAAAAAGUGUCAAGGUCGCAAGCAUACUAGAAUGCUCACAAAUGUUUGCUGACUUGAACGUAAGGUUCAGCUUUCCUGAUGCUUUUCACAUUGCUUCUCCUCAAGACAUGAGCAUUGCUGCUGAUAUCGAAUGCCAAAAUAAGAAGGAACAAAGACAGAAGAGACUCCAGGGACGUCCCUCC
rnacentral:lncRNA from 1 species